CUACGGGAGGCUCCAGUGAGGAAUUUUGCGCAAUGGGGGAAACCCUGACGCAGCAACGCCGCGUGAGUGAUGAAGGCUUUCGGGUCGUAAAGCUCUGUCAAGUGGGAAGAACAUGUAUAAGGCCAAUACCCUUAUGCACUGACGGUACCACUGAAGGAAGCACCGGCUAACUCCGUGCCAGCAGCCGCGGUAAUACGGGGGGUGCAAGCGUUAUUCGGAAUCAUUGGGCGUAAAGAGCACGUAGGCGGUUUUUUAAGUCAGAUGUGAAAGCCCGGGGCUUAACCCCCGGAAGUGCAUUUGAUACUGGGAAACUUGAGUAUGGGAGAGGGAAGUGGAAUUCCUGGUGUAGAGGUGAAAUUCGUAGAUAUCAGGAGGAACACCGGUGGCGAAGGCGACUUCCUGGACCAAUACUGACGCUGAGGUGCGAAGGCGUGGGGAGCAAACAGGAUUAGAUACCCUGGUAGUC
rnacentral:rRNA from 1 species